rnacentral:lncRNA from 1 species
AAUCAUUAAACCCCUUUUUAUUCUCUUUUAGUCCAUCCAUCCGGUUCAAGCUCAAGAAGAAGGCUUCUCCUAAUCCCACAGUCAAAAUCUGUCUACCUCUAGCAUAGCACCGAUUUCGGUACAAACAAUUGGCGCCCACCAUGGGGCAUGGGGAUGUAUCUUCGAAAAAGAUUGAACUCGGAGUCCGUUUGGUCGUCACUGAACCGUCUGGUCAUCACUUUGACCGUUCUGCCGUCGCAUGAGCAUUCUGUCGUCGCUUGUUUAUGUCGCCAAAAAAAAAAAAAAAAGAGUGUGCUGGGACCUACCAUAUUUCAUUUACUCGGUAGCAAACCAAGGCUUAUAAAAUGUUUUUACUCGGUCCAUGCCGUUCAAAUCAUUAUACCGAGGAUUUUGAUUCUUGAAAUCUCUAUGGUCCUACCAUGAUCGGCCAAUCUUUCAACAAGAAGAGGCCUAUAUCGAGCCCAACACACCAUGAAGGCCAUCAAAGCGUGAUAUCACAAGCACUCGCUCGGCACCAGCUUCUCCGCCUC